AUUUAGACUGUAAUCUUCUAAUCGUUGUACUGUCUUUCCUAUGGUUGAUGACAUACUAAAAAGAUGUUAUUCUUAUAUAUCAUCAUAACUGUUGGGGUUCAGGGUGUUUUUGGAAUCUAUGGUGGAUGUAUGAGCUACUCGACUACCGUAGAGCAAUCCGGCCGUCUUAACGUGACAAUAUUUUUCUUAAAUGGAUGGAAAAAUGGAUACGGUCCCUGUCGCGUGUGUACAGCCGCCAGUGUAGGAACAGAGGUAACAGACAAAAGAAAACAAAUUAUUCAACAGACCAGAAAUUCAGAAAUAUUUGGGAAAUGGACAGUUGAAAAGAUGGUUUCUAAGACUUAUAAUAUAUCAAUUGUUGAUAAAACAUUGGAAAUAAAUAACGUUUCCAAAGAUGUUGUGCUUACUGUUAAUGAACAUGAGGGUUGGUAGUAUGCGGGUUCCGAAAUAGUUUUGGAAUUUGAAUCAAUACAAAAGGAUUUUGACAU